rnacentral:rRNA from 1 species
UACAGGGGGGGCAAGCGUUGUUCGGAAUUACUGGGCGUAAAGGGCGCGUAGGCGGCCAAUUAAGUCCGACGUGAAAUCCCCAGGCUUAACCUGGGAACUGCGUCGGAUACUGGAUGGCUUGAAUUCGGGAGAGGGAUGCGGAAUUCCAGGUGUAGCGGUGAAAUGCGUAGAUAUCUGGAGGAACACCGGUGGCGAAGGCGGCGUCCUGGACCAAUAUUGACGCUGAGGAGCGAAAGCUAGGGGAGCAAACGGG